GGUCGCUUAGCUCAGUUGGUUAGAGCGUGGUGCUAAUAUGGCGACUCUCAUAGAGAGUCUAGUUAACGCCAAGGUCGCGAGUUCGACCCUCGUAGUGACCA